rnacentral:lncRNA from 12 species
CUCUAACUGAGCAGAGCUGCCAGGAAAAAUUCUCCCAGCUUAGCUCAGCGAAAAGGAAUUAGAAAUUUCUGUCACUAAGCAAAGAUUUACCUUGUGUCUUGGAUGUUAGGCGGGGUGUGCCUGUGGAGCCCCCUUUCACCAGUCCUGUCCCAGGUGUGCCGCGCUACAAACAGUCAGCUUCGGGAAAAGAAUUCGCAAACAAGUAUAACAGGAUAUUCAGAAAACUGGUGCAGGGUGACUCAUCUCAUCGAACGCAAACUAUCUGGGAUGUGACGUUCUGCUGUUGCAUUGGCAGCUCGGUCCGGCGAGUUUUAGCCCAGAAAUUCAACGCCUUUCAAUGGACGUGUUUAGCUUUCCGGAGCUCUGACUACCCCCCUCCCGACUGCACAGAGGAAACUUUGAAAUGCUGCACAUUGAAAAGAGAAGCAAAAGGGCACCUUCAAAGGAUGUGACACAAUUUGACCGAAUCCAGGCUGCUGUGUUGUGUUUUCCGAACGUGAAUCCACCUGCUUGAUGUCCAUCUUCUUUACUCCUGAAGUGCAUUCACACAUCGGGCCGUUCAAAAGCUCUCCUGGCUAAAAGCCCCCCUGAGUUUCUCUGAUCCGGCCUUGGAAGGUGCCCCGAAGAGGCCCUGGGAUGCAGCUCACUGGUGGCUGAGGACACAUAUUCUUUCUUAACUUGAUUGUCUUCAUCCUCUCAAUCAGAUGUAUGUCCAGACUGCACUUGUCCACGGUUCAUUAACUCCUAAAGAAUUUGACCUGGUCCACGUCGCUUUGUCCUCCGAAGAAAUGCCUAGGGAAUUCCCCGAGUGAGGCUCACAGACAAGGACCCUGCCCAAAGAGAGUGUUCUUGGUUUUUGGUGACUCAGGGCCUUCUCUUUACACAGAGUGAUCUUCAAAGGGCAGGUUGGAGAUGUGUCAGCUCCAGACACAGCAAAUGACUAUGAGUUCAGAUUCCCAAACUUUCCAUUUUCCUGUUAUUUCCCUGCCAUCUCGUUGGACCACAUUCCUGUGUCUGCUCUUCCCAUCCAGAACGUGUGGGUGCUAAUCUUUGCCUCUGACACCUGUUAGUCAUUCUGUGUCUCAGGUCCCAUUGGUGAUAUGGGGUAAUCACCGUGUUUACCACACAGGCUUGUUGAGAAACCUCCACUUCAUGGUGAUAGGUGAUCUGAUCAAGUGGAGGUAUUGCAUUAAGCUCAACAAAGAUUAGACAGCAGACUUGGGAAAACCAUAGCAUCUUCUUUCCAGUUCUCAUUUCCCAUAGAAGGUAACACUGAUAGGAAUCUGUUGUGGUGAAUGUUCAUCAUUUCUGGAAACACAGGAGCAUUCAUGGAAAGACACCUGUAGGCUGAGGUCUUAGCUCCUAUUAAGACCUGAGUAAUAGCCUCAGAUUUGCAAACACACAGGCUCUGGUUCUGCUUUCUUAGCUGGGCAUGUGUUCACAGGUGUCUUAUCUAGUGCUUAUAGGCCAGAAAGGGCCACAUUCUAGGCAAAUAUCAAGAGAUAUGAGCUGAAUGUGGUUUUAAUAUGCUGGCAUCAUGUGAUAUCACUGACUUUGAGAAGUACCCUGCAUGAUCCAACUUACUGAAGAAGGAAGGGAUCAUUUGCUCCAGAGAAAAGUCAAAACAGUAAAACUGCUUGAGGAGAAAAUGACCUUUCUUGUCCUUACACGUAUCAAGUGGAUUCUUAGGAAAGUAAGCCCAGCAAGGAUUCCCUGUAACUAACGGCUGACUCCGCUAGACUCCAAGAAGCCAUUACUUACUUUUAUUACUCUAAACUGACCAAUUCCAUCACGAGACACCCUUGGGUUUCCACGGGGUCACCUUGGUGAGGUAACGUGUUGUACCCAGGCUGGGGACAUCAGCUUUUUGAUUUUUUGUCUUAAUUCCAAGCUUAUAUUUCCACUCUUACUAUUUAGCAAGAUCCUUGUUUUUUUUUUGUUGUUGUUUGUUUGUUUGUUUGUUUUAAGAUCCUUGUUUUGAUGUGCUAUCAUCAACACCUGAUAUAAUCAGGAUUGAAAACACAGUUUAAAAUCUUGCCCCCACACCUCAGAUAAAGCUGAACAUCCACGGUGUUUGAUGAUACACCAUGGUCCGCUGCAGGAGAGGUAGUUCUGCAGCCAGCCAGUCCAGGCUUUUCGUAUUUCUGUGUAUUUGUGUAUAUUCUUAGGCAGGUCCAUGCUUGAGUUGCUUCAUGGUUAGGAGACAGUCAUUAGCUUCUAAAGAAUCAUCUGGAAUACUCUAGCAGCUGAUACACAUAAAAGUAUAAAAAAGAAAUAUAAAGAAGGAAGUAAUAGACUUAGUGUGAUAAGUAAUUUGUAUAAUUGGCUGCCUCUAAAACAAGCAUACGUAACAAGUAAUACAUCUGCAACAUCCUUUGCUUCUUUACCUUUACACAAAGGAGAUGGAUCUAGGUCUACACAAGGAUGUACAUUAAAUAUUCAUUGGUGGAUUUAUUCUAAAAUUUGUGAGUGUCCAGUCUGGCUCUAGAUAACAAUAAUAAAAAAAAAAAAACCUUCCU